rnacentral:rRNA from 1 species
CGCUGGCGGCAGGCUUAACACAUGCAAGUCGAACGAUGAUUAUCUAGCUUGCUAGANAUGAUUAGUGGCGGACGGGUGAGUAACAUUUAGGAAUCUGCCUAGUAGUGGGGGAUAGCUCGGGGAAACUCGAAUUAAUACCGCAUACGACCUACGGGUGAAAGGGGGCGCAAGCUCUUGCUAUUAGAUGAGCCUAAAUCAGAUUAGCUAGUUGGUGGGGUAAAGGCCCACCAAGGCGACGAUCUGUAACUGGUCUGAGAGGAUGAUCAGUCACACCGGAACUGAGACACGGUCCGGACUCCUACGGGAGGCAGCAGUGGGGAAUAUUGGACAAUGGGGGCAACCCUGAUCCAGCCAUGCCGCGUGUGUGAAGAAGGCCUUUUGGUUGUAAAGCACUUUAAGCAGGGAGGAGAGGCUAAUGGUUAAUACCCAUUAGAUUAGACGUUACCUGCAGAAUAAGCACCGGCUAACUCUGUGCCAGCAGCCGCGGUAAUACAGAGGGUGCGAGCGUUAAUCGGAAUUACUGGGCGUAAA